GAUGAACGCUGGCGGCGUGCCUAAUACAUGCAAGUCGAGCGAACGGACGAGAAGCUUGCUUUUCUGAUGUUAGCGGCGGACGGGUGAGUAACACGUGGAUAACCUACCUAUAAGACUGGGAUAACUUCGGGAAACCGGAGCUAAUACCGGAUAAUAUUUUGAACCGCAUGGUUCAAAAGUGAAAGACGGUCUUGCUGUCACUUAUAGAUGGAUCCGCGCUGCAUUAGCUAGUUGGUAAGGUAACGGCUUACCAAGGCAACGAUGCAUAGCCGACCUGAGAGGGUGAGCGGCCACACUGGAACUGAGGCACGGUCCAGACUCCUACGGGAGGCAGCAGUAGGGAAUCUUACGCAAUGGGCGAAAGCCUGACGUAGCAACGCCGCGUGAGUGAUGAAGGUCUUCGGAUCGUAAAACUCUGUUAUUAGGGAAGAACAUAUGUGUAAGUAACUGUGCACAUCGUGACGGUACCUAAUCAGAAAGCCACGGCUAACUACGU
rnacentral:rRNA from 1 species